UUGGUUGGAGGCAUUGAAGUCAUCCGCAGCCCCAACUAACCCUCAAAUCCCUAGCUCCCAAAUCCCAAACCCUAAUCGAGUAGGUCCCCAAAUCCCAAAGCCUAAUCGAAGAAGGGUACAAGAUUUGCUCCACUGAAUCAACCUCAUCAGCAAAUGGACACUAAUUGCAAUUGCCCCCACUCUCCUCCCUUUGGCUUCCUCCGCCAACCCAACUUCAUCGUCCCCCAGACCCCUCCGCAACCUCCACCACAGUAUCGUGCAGGUGUUCUACGGCUGCCCCGUCAAGGUCCUCCCCGCUUUCAAGUCCAUCUUCACUCCUUCUCCCCCCUCUCGAACAACGGGUAGAAGAGCUGGGCUUUCAUGGUCUAGAUUGUGGUGGUGUCAAGCUGGCCUUUGAACAUUUGCUUUUUUUUUUUAAAAAAAAAAACUCUCCCAAAAUGCUUGAGAGAAAGGGGGCAAAUCGGCGGUGGGGGCACCCCCUCCGGCUACCUCUCCUGAAGGCGUCCUCGCCGGACGCAUCUGAAGCAUCUUGCAAAGUCGCCUGGGGGGCAGGUGGUCGAUGAGCGUACCCCUAUAGCCGAUCCGUCCUCCUCCCUCUCUCUCUGAUUUUGAAACGAAAGGAGAAAGGGAGGGUAUAGAUCCGCGAUGGGGCCAACUCCGCUGUCCAUCAUCCCCAAAGUGACAUCAGUAAAGGCUUGGGACAUCUCCUCAGGUCGGUGCCUACGGCGAUGCCCCACCGCAGCAUCCUUUAAGCCUACUCCCCUUAACACUUUUUUUCUCUAUCCUCAUUUGCAUAAGAUUUUUUUUUCAGAUUUUUUUAAUUGAUCAAAUUUUAUUAAAUCAUAUAAUACUUUAUUAAAAAGUUUUAAAAAAUUAUUUUUUAAUGUUUUCCGUUCAAUUUUUAAUGAAAGAUUAAUAAAAAGAUUGAUUUGAUGUACAUUUAGUCAGUGAUGAUUAAAAUUAAUGUAAAAAAUUAGUUGAGAUUAGAUUUGAUGGAAUAUCGAUCUUUUGAUAGGUAAAUUAUUAGUUUACUCAAAAAUUAAUUGUUGCAAUUUUAGAAAAUCAGCAUUUGGAUUUACAAUUAAUAAUGAACUGAUCACUGAUGCAUCUUCUGGGUCUUGUGUCUUGGGCCUCUAACUGGGCAGAUCCAACCACCCCACAAGUCAAGAGCUUUUCAUUGGAGUGACAAAUUGAGUGAUCCCGACUAGCGAAUUCAACGAUCCGACAUAGUUCGAGAUCUUUACCCAAACCAGAGAGCGGGCUGGACGGAGGAUGCAACCUUCUAGUUCUAAUUUGAGCUGUUGCUGCAAUGGGCAGAUGCAAAGGGAACCUCAGGAACAAUCCGUUGGUGGGCCCGCUGUUGGUAGACAGCGCUAUAGAUACUGGCAUUGAAUAAACAAGCUGGUGAAAGCUCAUAUUUGUGGUCUUUCGAGGCUUGCUUUUGUUUGGAGAGAUUUAUUUAAAUUUAUAGCAUAAAAUUCACCGACAAUUAAUAUAUCCAUUUUUAAAUAUAUUAAUUAAUUUUAUUAAUAUU